AUACGGAGGGUGCAAGCGUUGUCCGGAUUUAUAGGGUUUAAAGGUUGCGUAGGCGGCCCGUUAAGUCAGUGGUGAAAGGUAUCAGCUCAACUGAUGAAGUGCCAUUGAAACUAACGGGCUUGAGUACAGACGAGGUAGGCGGAAUUUAUGGUGUAGCGGUGAAAUGCAUAGAUACCAUAAAGAACACCGAUAGCGAAGGCAGCUUACUAGACUGUCACUGACGCUGAGGCACGAAAGCGUGGGGAGCAAACAGGAUUAGAAACCCCAGUAGUCC
rnacentral:rRNA from 1 species